GAUGAACGCUAGCGGCAGGCUUAAUACAUGCAAGUCGAACGGGAUCCGAGGUAGCAAUACUUUGGUGAGAGUGGCGCACGGGUGCGUAACGCGUAUGCAACCUACCUUUAACAGGGGAAUAGCCCCGAGAAAUCGGGAUUAAUACUCCGUAACAUUGCGGGAUGGCAUCAUUCUGCAAUUAAAGAUUUUAUCGGUUAAAAGAUGGGCAUGCGUGACAUUAGCUUGUUGGUGAGGUAACGGCUCACCAAGGCAACGAUGUCUAGGGGUCCUGAGAGGGUUAUCCCCCACACUGGUACUGAGACACGGACCAGACUCCUACGGGAGGCAGCAGUAAGGAAUAUUGGUCAAUGGGCACAAGCCUGAACCAGCCAUGCCGCGUGCAGGAAGACGGCCCCUAAUGGGGUUGUAAACUGCUUUUGUCAGGGAAUAAACCUGUCUACGUGUAGACAGCUGAAGGUACCUGAAGAAUAAGCAUCGGCUAACUCCGUGCCAGCAGCCGCGGUAAUC
rnacentral:rRNA from 1 species